rnacentral:pre_miRNA from 1 species
AGUGGGACAGCUGGGUCAAAUGGUGAUUCCAUUCUCAGUUUUACAAGGAAUCUAAAAUACUGCUUACCAUAUUGGCUACACCAAUUUGCAGUCCCACCAGCAGU